rnacentral:rRNA from 1 species
UACGUAGGGCGCAAGCGUUGUCCGGAUUUAUUGGGCGUAAAGAGCUCGUAGGCGGUCUGUCGCGUCGGCUGUGAAACCCCGAGGCUCAACCUCGGGCCUGCAGUCGAUACGGGCAGACUAGAGUGCGGUAGGGGAGACUGGAAUUCCUGGUGUAGCGGUGAAAUGCGCAGAUAUCAGGAGGAACACCGGUGGCGAAGGCGGGUCUCUGGGCCAUUACUGACGCUGAGGCGCGAAAGCGUGGGGAGCAAACAGG